UACGUAGGGGGCAAGCGUUGUCCGGAAUCAUUGGGCGUAAAGCGCGUGUAGGCGGCUCGGUAAGUCUGCUGUUAAAGUCCAGGGCUCAACCCUGGGAUGCCGGUGGAUACUGUCGAGCUCGAGUCCGGAAGAGGAGUGUGGAAUUCCUGGUGUAGCGGUGAAAUGCGCAGAUAUCAGGAGGAACACCAAUGGCGAAGGCAGCACUCUGGGACGUGACUGACACUGAGGCGCGACAGCGUGGGGAGCAAACAGG
rnacentral:rRNA from 1 species